rnacentral:misc_RNA from 1 species
GAUGAAGAACGUAGCGAAAUGCGAUACGUAAUGUGAAUUGCAGAUUUCAGUGAAUCAUCGAAUCUUUGAACGCACAUUGCGCCCGCUAGUAUUCUGGCGGGCAUGCCUGUUCGAGCGUCAUUUCAACCAUCAAGCCCUAGGCUUGCGUUGGAGCCCUGCGGCUGCCGCAGGCUCCCAAAUCCAGUGGCGGGCUCGUCGUCGUACCGAGUGCAGUAAACAUCCUCGCUCAGGGAACGUGACGGGUUCUUGCCGUGAAACCCCCCACAUAUCAAGGUUGACCUCGGAUCAGGUAGGAAUACCCGCUGAACUCAAGCAUAUCAAUAAGCGGAGGA